UUGGAUAACCUUGACUGUCACCUUGAUGGGGGGAUGCUGGAUAACCUCGACUGUCACCUUGAUGGGAUUUAGAAUCACCCCUACUAUAUUCAUACUUCUGUGUAGAACUGUCAGGGCAUUUCCCGAGUUUUAAAUAAGGAGGGGAGGGUGACAACAGUCCUUGGGCUGGGGGCCCAGACUGAAGAAAAAUGAGAAUGAGAACCAAACACCAGCGUUCAACCCAGCUUCCUGACUGAGGCUGCAGUGUGACCGACCACCUCGCUUCUGGGGCUUCCCACAGAUGGACUCCCCGUCAAGCUGAACUGCACCUUCCUGCAAUCAGCUGAAACAAAUCUUUCCCUCCUCACCUUGCUUCUGCUACACACUUUGUCCUGGGAACUAGAAACGUCUGGCACAGUGGGUGAACGACUUCCCGAGAAUCUAUAAUUAUUACAAAUAAAGGUUCAAUGGAAGCACCGUGAGCAGAAUGAGACUUUUCUGAGUGCUUCAUGCUGCAGAGGCCUCUCCCCAGUCCAGCCUUGCUCUGGCAUACCUUUGAUGCCCUCUCAGACCUCCUUCCACCUUGCACCAUCCACCCUUGAAGGACUUACUGCCCACCCGAACAAGCAUUUUGAAUUUGAAAGAAAAGCUCCCGGAGGAGAGAGCUUAACCCGAGAAAGCACCGAUGUUGUAGGGCUGUGGAGCCCAGAUGAAAGCUGUGUUAAUGGUGGACCCACGCCUGUGGACACCAGCCCCAGGCCCACCCCUUCCCUUUUGAGGUUCCCAUUUUUGCUGCACAUUGAGGACAAGGACAGAAGGGGAGUAACUAGCUGGGACAAAACAGACCAAGUCCUCAAGUCCAGAGAAGAUGGAUUAGAACUGAGUGUGGUCAGUUACAGAAGGCUUUCUGGAGACACGGAGCCCUGGUCCCUCCUGGGGUCCAGAAGGAUGUUAGCUGAUGUGAUACAGAGGGCAGAAGAGAAGCUGGGAACCCCAGGAGGGGCCCAAAGGCUGAUACCACCCUGCUAGGCUGCUGGGUUAUCUUCCAGCCAGGGAACUAACCCACUCGCUGUAUCCCUGUACAGCUGAGCCAUCUCAGGCCUUAGGCCAAUAUCUUUCACACAGAACCCUCUUUAGUGCUUUGGGCUCCGUUUAAGAAAGGCCAAAAGCCACAGCCCACGAUCACCACAGAGCACCACAAAGCGCUCAGAGAGGGGAAAUGCUGUAAUCUAAGCUCCCCACCACUGAUGUGAAAUCUGUUAGCACAGGUAAUAAUCAGACGGUGGGAUAAGGCAGCACUGUGCCCGUGGGAUCCACCAGGCACACAAGGAGACCAGCUGCAGUUGCCCACAAUGGAGGAGCAGCAGCCUGGAAAGCUUACCACCAGCUCAGCA